UGCAGUCGAGCGGUAGCACAGAGAGCUUGCUCUCGGGUGACGAGCGGCGGACGGGUGAGUAAUGUCUGGGAAACUGCCUGAUGGAGGGGGAUAACUACUGGAAACGGUAGCUAAUACCGCAUAACGUCGCAAGACCAAAGUGGGGGACCUUCGGGCCUCAUGCCAUCAGAUGUGCCCAGAUGGGAUUAGCUAGUAGGUGGGGUAACGGCUCACCUAGGCGACGAUCCCUAGCUGGUCUGAGAGGAUGACCAGCCACACUGGAACUGAGACACGGUCCAGACUCCUACGGGAGGCAGCAGUGGGGAAUAUUGCACAAUGGGCGCAAGCCUGAUGCAGCCAUGCCGCGUGUGUGAAGAAGGCCUUCGGGUUGUAAAGCACUUUCAGCGGGGAGGAAGGCGAUGAGGUUAAUAACCUUGGCGAUUGACGUUACCCGCAGAAGAAGCACCGGCUAACUCCGUGCCAGCAGCCGCGGUAAUACGGAGGGUGCAAGCGUUAAUCGGAAUUACUGGGCGUAAAGCGCACGCAGGCGGUCUGUCAAGUCGGAUGUGAAAUCCCCGGGCUCAACCUGGGAACUGCAUUCGAAACUGGCAGGCUAGAGUCUUGUAGAGGGGGGUAGAAUUCCAGGUGUAGCGGUGAAAUGCGUAGAGAUCUGGAGGAAUACCGGUGGCGAAGGCGGCCCCCUGGACAAAGACUGACGCUCAGGUGCGAAAGCGUGGGGAGCAAACAGGAUUAGAUACCCUGGUAGUCCACGCCGUAAACGAUGUCGAUUUGGAGGUUGUGCCCUUGAGGCGUGGCUUCCGGAGCUAACGCGUUAAAUCGACCGCCUGGGGAGUACGGCCGCAAGGUUAAAACUCAAAUGAAUUGACGGGGGCCCGCACAAGCGGUGGAGCAUGUGGUUUAAUUCGAUGCAACGCGAAGAACCUUACCUGGUCUUGACAUCCACAGAACUUACCAGAGAUGCUUUGGUGCCUUCGGGAACUGUGAGACAAGUGCUGCAUGGCUGUCGUCAGCUCGUGUUGUGAA
rnacentral:rRNA from 1 species